rnacentral:lncRNA from 1 species
CGAGUCCCACAUGGGCUCUCUGCUCGGCGGGGAGCCUGCUUCCCUCUCUCUCUCUACCUGCCUCUCUGCCUACUUGUGAUCUCUGCCUGUCAAAUAAAUAAAUAAAAUCUUUAAAAAAAAAAAAAAUCUGAAACAAAACCUAGGCACUCAGUGAUUAAGUGAUGCCUGUAACUGUAUGACAGAUCAGCAAUUUUGUCAUUUCUAUAUUCCCAGCUUGGAAUCUAAUAUAAAAGAAAUACUUCACUACUUUGUUCUAAAUCCCGUCUGAUCCAAUCUGGAAUAAAUAUAUUGUUGUGGGUUUCUUAAUAGGAAAAAAAGAAAAUAAUAACAUCUUUGACAGAAUUAAAUCGUCGUUUCUGCAAAAAGAAACUUGGAAUUCACCUUUGGUCUACUUCUUAUCUUUGGCGUAUUUUCUAUUAAAAAGACUUCUAGAUUUUAGUGGCUGCUUCGCUUUGGUUAUCUAAGCUGUAAUAAGUAGCCUUGGGACCCCCGAAGGCACACCCCACACACUUAUGCUGGGUGACCUAAGGUCACAAGUAAUGGCUGCAAGCUAAUUGAUUGAGAAAGGCUUGUCUGGCGGGGCCUCUCUGCGUCCUCCCCUUACAUUCCUGACUUCUGGGAGAGAGGCACUAGCCGCUCAGCGAGCAAGGAAGGAAAAAAGAGAGGAAGUUUCUCUGCGUUCCGAUUCCUCUCUGAAUUCCCUGGUAGUGAGCUUCCUUCUCUCCACCCACUUCUUCCCAAGAACUCCUUAAUUUGAAGGUGAACCACCUAAAGCCUGAUCCCAGAGACUUCCCCGAAAGGUGAUUUGAGUGUUUAUUGAACCGAAAGAACAAAUUACCUACUUGAGGCGGUGGGCAGCCUAUGGAGAUUAUAUUAGAACUUCAGCAAAGUGCACAGCUGCCUAAGACAGAAGCCGGGACUCAGACGGACAGGCAAAUAAGCCUGCUCGUGGAAGGGGCCUCUGGGUGGCAGCUCUGGGCUAUUGGGUGUUGGACAACCCUAGGCAAAACAGAAAUGGAACAGGGGCAGAAAAUAGCACACUUGUACGCUACGCAACUGUUGCUUUCGCAUGGCUAUCGAGGAUUACAAUGGCCCUGUAAAGAGAUGACGCAGACAAAACAGAGCUUGUUGCUGCUUCUGAGAUAA